AGUGACCGCUGGCGGUAGGCCUAACACAUGCAAGUCGAACGGCAGCACAGUAAGAGCUUGCUCUUACGGGUGGCGAGUGGCGGACGGGUGAGGAAUACAUCGGAAUCUACUUUUUCGUGGGGGAUAACGUAGGGAAACUUACGCUAAUACCGCAUACGACCUACGGGUGAAAGCAGGGGAUCUUCGGACCUUGCGCGAUUGAAUGAGCCGAUGUCGGAUUAGCUAGUUGGCGGGGUAAAGGCCCACCAAGGCGACGAUCCGUAGCUGGUCUGAGAGGAUGAUCAGCCACACUGGAACUGAGACACGGUCCAGACUCCUACGGGAGGCAGCAGUGGGGAAUAUUGGACAAUGGGCGCAAGCCUGAUCCAGCCAUACCGCGUGGGUGAAGAAGGCCUUCGGGUUGUAAAGCCCUUUUGUUGGGAAAGAAAAGCAGCAGGUUAAUACCCCGCUGUUCUGACGGUACCCAAAGAAUAGGCACCGGCUAACUUCGUG
rnacentral:rRNA from 1 species